UACGGAGGGUGCAAGCGUUAUCCGGAUUCACUGGGCUUAAAGGGUGCGUAGGCGGGUUGGUAAGUCCGUUGUGAAAUCUCCGAGCUUAACUCGGAAACUGCCGUGGAUACUAUCAAUCUUGAAUAUCGUGGAGGUAAGCGGAAUAUGUCAUGUAGCGGUGAAAUGCUUAGAGAUGACAUAGAACACCAAUUGCGAAGGCAGCUUACUACACGAUCAUUGACGCUGAGGCACGAAAGCGUGGGGAGCAAACAGG
rnacentral:rRNA from 1 species